AAGCCAAGUCUGUUUUGUCUCCGUGCAACUGGACGUGUUUACAUUCAACUUUUUCCUCUUUUUUGCUGGAAUGUUGCUACAUCACGGCGUGACAAAAUGAGCUCGUUACAACUUCUCCAAACUGCCCGGCUCCGAGUUUCUUCACCAUCGUAAUGGACUCUUUGGAAAUCUCCCAGGCGUCUUUAUCCCAGGGCUUCUGGGCUUUGGGCUUCACACAUGGACGGUCCAGUUUACGACACAGGCCAUCUGCUUUGUCUUGAAGGUAGGGUCUCUGACAUAGUGCGUUUGCUCAGUACGUACAGUCUGCUGGCCGAUCUUCCCCUCCACACCUCUGCUCAGACCUUCGCUCAAUGUGGACUUCAUGCAGCCCAUCCUGCCUGCAUGAGGAAGUGAGAAAAGGAAAGAGUGAACUGGGUGAACUGGACGGUUACACAUUUACUAUUUAAAGCUGGUGAAACAAAGACUUCACAUAUUUGGUAAUGAGCACCUGUUACUUUUCUGCUUUUGCAUGGAAAAAUAACUUUUUAAAAACUUUUCUGUUUUUUCCUCUGUUGCUGUUCUGGCUUGAGGCUGGCCUCCCCAGCCUCAAGCCAGAACAACACUGACACAAUAACAUUCGCAUGCAAGUGCAUACAAAUACAUAUGAGAAACCAAAUGACCUCAAAAUCUUUUAAGGCUUAAACUUCAGGGGAUGAUUCCUGUGUGACAAAUAAUGGUAUUUCACAGGGAGAUGGAAAGGGACCACAAAAGUAACGACCAAAGAGACCACAAACCUCGACAGUGAUGAGUAUGGUAUGAAAGUUUAAUGCAGUAUGGUGCGUAGCUCUGUGGUGGUCUGUAGCAGACUUUGACAAUGGCUUUUUUGUACCUUUUGUUUUGUCAGUCACCCUAGCAGCUUGAAUCUAGACGGCAGCUUGACAACAAGUUGAAUGGAGAGAAGUAUGUGGGCGCUUUGAAUUCUUUUUUGUUGGCUUGUUUUUUUUUUGCAUGUGACACUUUGUACAUGAGGCUUUCAGCAGUGUGCAGUAAUUUAGAAAAGAAAUUAAAGCGGAAGACAUAAUAGUUUUUAACAUACAUCCCACUGUCACCUGCUGUGCAGUAGUUUUAGGGUAACACUCGCCCACACAUAUACUUUAUUACUGUAAAUGCUCAGUGUUGACUUUUCAACACUUAUUUAAGGUCUGCCUUUCUCUUCUUUCCUUAUUUUAUAAAAUACUUUGCUCUAUUUUGUUUGCUGAAGUCAGUUUCCAUGUUUGUUAAUGUUUAAACUAACCACAAUACUGCCACAACAGUAGAAUAAUUACUUCUUGCAGUUCUACUGGUUGUGAUAGUUUACUUUUUAUUGCAUUAUAAUGUG